ensembl:lncRNA
GAGAGAGACAUGGUGGAGCUCAGAGAGAGACGUGGUGGAGCUCAGAGAGCUGGAGAGAGACAUGGUGGAGCUCAGAGAGACGUGGUGGAGCUCAGAGAGCUGGAGAGAGACGUGGUGGAGCUCAGGGAGCUGGAGAGAGACGUGGUGGAGCUCAGAGAGCUGGAGAGAGACGUGGUGGAGCUCAGAGAGCUGGAGAGAGACGUGGUGGAGCUCAGAGAGCUGGAGAGAGACAUGGUGGAGCUCAGAGAGACACGUGGUGGAGCUCAGAGAA